rnacentral:rRNA from 1 species
AACUGAAGAGUUUGAUCAUGGCUCAGAUUGAACGCUGGCGGCAGGCUUAACACAUGCAAGUCGAGCGGGGGAAGGUAGCUUGCUACUGGACCUAGCGGCGGACGGGUGAGUAAUGCUUAGGAAUCUGCCUAUUAGUGGGGGACAACAUCUCGAAAGGGAUGCUAAUACCGCAUACGUCCUACGGGAGAAAGCAGGGGAUCUUCGGACCUUGCGCUAAUAGAUGAGCCUAAGUCGGAUUAGCU